GAUGAACGCUGGCGGCGUGCCUAAUACAUGCAAGUCGAGCGAACGGACGAGAAGCUUGCUUCUCUGAUGUUAGCGGCGGACGGGUGAGUAACACGUGGAUAACCUACCUAUAAGACUGGGAUAACUUCGGGAAACCGGAGCUAAUACCGGAUAAUAUUUUGAACCGCAUGGUUCAAAAGUGAAAGACGGUCUUGCUGUCACUUAUAGAUGGAUCCGCGCUGCAUUAGCUAGUUGGUAAGGUAACGGCUUACCAAGGCAACGAUGCAUGGCCGACCUGAGAGGGUGAUCGGCCACACUGGAACUGAGACACGGUCCAGACUCCUACGGGAGGCAGCAGUAGGGAAUCUUCCGCAAUGGGCGAAAGCCUGACGGAGCAACGCUGCGUGAGUGAUGAAGGUCUUCGGAUCGUAAAACUCUGUUAUUAGGGAAGAACAUAUGUGUAAGUAACUGUGCACAUCUUGACGGUACCUAAUCAGAAAGCCACGGCUAACUACGUG
rnacentral:rRNA from 1 species